GUGUUUUUGCCUGACUAACCAAUAGCAAUGUUUUAGGAAAGUUACCUAUUCAUGACUGAAACAAUAGGGUAAAUUGAAAAUUGCUAUUAGUAGACAUGGAAAAAAAUAUAAUACACGCGUGACGGUGAAGAAACAUAUUUAUGAAUAAACGUUGAUUACCAUAGAUAACCAUCUAUUCUAUAUUAACUGGCAUGAGGGAGCUCCACAUGGAAUACGUAAAAAAAGCUGCAACACGCUUGUCAAAAAUGCAUACAAAAGCAC